rnacentral:rRNA from 17 species
UGAAGAGUUUGAUCAUGGCUCAGAUUGAACGCUGGCGGCAGGCCUAACACAUGCAAGUCGAACGGUAACAGGAAGCAGCUUGCUGCUUUGCUGACGAGUGGCGGACGGGUGAGUAAUGUCUGGGAAACUGCCUGAUGGAGGGGGAUAACUACUGGAAACGGUGGCUAAUACCGCAUAACGUCGCAAGACCAAAGAGGGGGACCUUCGGGCCUCUUGCCAUCAGAUGUGCCCAGAUGGGAUUAGCUUGUUGGUGAGGUAACGGCUCACCAAGGCGACGAUCCCUAGCUGGUCUGAGAGGAUGACCAGCCACACUGGAACUGAGACACGGUCCAGACUCCUACGGGAGGCAGCAGUGGGGAAUAUUGCACAAUGGGCGCAAGCCUGAUGCAGCCAUGCCGCGUGUAUGAAGAAGGCCUUCGGGUUGUAAAGUACUUUCAGCGGGGAGG